CCCAGGACCACUGCCACCAGCAACUGCUGUAUCCAGAGCAUCAUCACAAGGACCUCACAUUGGAUGUAAUUACUGACCACAGACAGAGGGACUUCACAAAAGGCACAGCUAUGGGUCUAGGCAAAAUGCACUGAUAGUGACCUGGGGCCCAGAGAGGUGCUGCCUUGCUCAGGAUCACACACCUCAUUAAGAGCAGAAAAAAGACAAGAACUCAAACCUCCUGAUUCCUGGCCUGGAGUCUUUAUCCUUACACUACUGUCCUGCCCCACUGACUGUUUUCUGAAUAUUUACUAUUAUUACUUCCUAAUACAAUUGAAAAUGUA